rnacentral:rRNA from 1 species
AGAUUGAACGCUGGCGGCAUGCCUUACACAUGCAAGUCGAACGGUAGAGUAGCAAUACUUGAGAGUGGCGAACGGGUGAGUAAUAUAUCGGAACGUGCCCAGUCGUGGGGGGAUAACGUAGAGAAAUUUACGCUAAUACCGCAUACGAUCUAAGGAUGAAAGCGGGGGACCGUAAGGCCUCGCGCGAUUGGAGCGGCUGAUAUCAGAUUAGGUUGUUGGUGAGGUAAAAGCUCACCAAGCCGACGAUCUGUAGCUGGUUUGAGAGAACGACCAGCCACACUGGGACUGAGACACGGCCCAGACUCCUACGGGAGGCAGCAGUGGGAAUUUGGACAAUGGGACGAAAGCCUGAUCCAGCAAUGACCGCGUGCAGGAAGAAGGGCCUUACGGGUUGUAAACGUUGACGUUUUGUAACGGAACGAAACGGUACUGGACUUUAAGUACGUAGU